GAUGAACGCUGGCGGCGUGCCUAAUACAUGCAAGUCGAGCGAACGGACGAGAAGCUUGCUUCUCUGAUGUUAGCGGCGGACGGGUGAGUAACACGUGGAUAACCUACCUAUAAGACUGGGAUAACUUCGGGAAACCGGAGCUAAUACCGGAUAAUAUUUUGAACCGCAUGGUUCAAAAGUGAAAGACGGUCUUGCUGUCACUUAUAGAUGGAUCCGCGCUGCAUUAGCUAGUUGGUAAGGUGACGGCUUACCAAGGCAACGAUGCAUAGCCGACCUAAGAGGGUGAUCGGCCACACUGGAACUGAGACACGGUCCAGACUCCUACGGGAGGCAGCAGUAGGGAAUCUUCCGCAAUGGGCGAAAGCCUGACGGAGCAACGCCGCGUGAGUGAUGAAGGUCUUCGGAUCGUAAAACUCUGUUAUUAGGGAAGAACAUAUGUGUAAGUAACUGUGCACAUCUUGACGGUACCUAAUCAGAAAGCCACGGCUAACUACGUG
rnacentral:rRNA from 1 species